GAUGAACGCUGGCGGCGUGCUUAACACAUGCAAGUCGAACGGAAAGGCCCAAGCUUGCUUGGGUCCUCGAGUGGCGAACGGGUGAGUAACACGUGGGUGAUCUGCCCUGCACUUCGGGAUAAGCCUGGGAAACUGGGUCUAAUACCGGAUAGGACCACAUUUUGGAUGGUGUGGUGGAGAGUUUUUCGGUGUGGGAUGAGCUCGCGGCCUAUCAGCUUGUUGGUGGGGUAAUGGCCUACCAAGGCGUCGACGGGUAGCCGGCCUGAGAGGGUGUACGGCCACAUUGGGACUGAGAUACGGCCCAGACUCCUACGGGAGGCAGCAGUGGGGAAUAUUGCACAAUGGGCGCAAGCCUGAUGCAGCGACGCCGCGUGGGGGAUGACGGCCUUCGGGUUGUAAACUCCUUUCGCUAGGGACGAAGCGUUUUUGUGACGGUACCUGGAGAAGAAGCACCGGCUAACUACGUG
rnacentral:rRNA from 1 species